GACGAACGCUGGCGGCGUGCUUAACACAUGCAAGUCGAACGGAAAGGCCCUGCUUUUGUGGGGUGCUCGAGUGGCGAACGGGUGAGUAACACGUGAGUAACCUGCCCUUGACUUUGGGAUAACUUCAGGAAACUGGGGCUAAUACCGGAUAGGAGCUCCUGCUGCAUGGUGGGGGUUGGAAAGUUUCGGCGGUUGGGGAUGGGCUCGCGGCUUAUCAGCUUGUUGGUGGGGUAGUGGCUUACCAAGGCUUUGACGGGUAGCCGGCCUGAGAGGGUGACCGGGAACAGUGGGACUGAGAACCGGCCAGGAGGCCUACGGGAGGCAGCAGUGGGGAAGAUUGCACAAGGGGCGGAAGCCUGAUGCAGCAACGCCGCGUGCGGGAUGACGGGCUUCGGGUUGGAAACCGGUAUCGCCUGUGACGAAGCGGGAGGGACGGUAAUGGGUAAAGAAGCACCGGCUAACUACGUG
rnacentral:rRNA from 1 species